GGCGGAACGUUCGGGCGGCUGAGGCGGGGGGGUGGAGGUGGUGGGGAGGAAAAAACAACAAGCACCGCUCCAGUCAGCAAACAUCCAUGAGCGGUGGUGAUGCGAACACGGAUACGAGGCUCCAGCAGCACCGCAGUCCGCAGGAAACACGGAGGUAACGGGGAGUUGUCAAGAUACCACCGGGCACAACGGAAAACGCGUUCACUGGCGGGAAUUUACCGCUGAGGCGUCGAAUGGAUGAUGAGGAGGAGGACAUGUCACGGCCCAUCUCGCAGCCCCGGGGAACGUCCUUUGGGGACGUCAAAUUCGAAGACCGCGCCACACAGAUCGCAGCUGGACAGGCCCUCGCUGCCGUCACUGCCGCUGUGUCCACGUCGCAGAGCCACAACAACAACAGCAUCAACGCGCUGCCCUGCGGCUUACAUCGGCAGCCUCACAUACCCUUUCACGGCAACGCUGGGUUGCGCUCACAUUUUCCUGCUCAGUUUGAGCCCAUGGAGGACCGGGGAGAGAGGGAGGUUGAAGAGGAGGAGGAAGAGGGCAGAGGGGAAGACAAUGACAGAAUGGCGGAGAGGCCCGAGGAGCAGGUGGGGGUGAGCGUGGAGGCGCAGAUUGGUCGUAAACUUCGGGAGAUUGGAGACAAGUUUCACCAGGAUCACGUUGAACUGUUUAUGAGGCAUCAGAGACAAAACCUGCCUGUCUGGAUGCGCCUUACGAUGGCCCUGUUUGGCUUUUUUUUUCCAAGAGAGGCCCUCGUCCCCCGUCUGAGAGGAGCGCAGAGAUGAAGGGACUUCCUGCCGGCCCUUUGCCUCGGAAUCGGACUUUAAGAGAUGGCACUGUAAGAUGGAACACGGGUUUGGAUUUUGUUUUCUAUUAUCUAUGAAGAUGAGAUGAAGAAGACACUGGUCACCGCUGGACGGAGACAGAUUACAAAUUUUUUCUUUUGUUUGUUUUGUUUUAACUUUUUUGUUGUUUUUUUUCUGCCUCUCAAAGAAGAAGCCAUUGUGUUUGAAGAGAUAUUUUCGAAAUAUUUGUAAGAUUACCUAUUUUGUACAGUAAACUGGUCUUUUUAUUUGGUAUUUCAAGUCUUGAAGGACCUCCAUCAGUCCGGGGAAUGCCUUAUUCUCUCCUGCCACAGUACAUACUCUUUUUGCAUCAAGAAAAAUCGUUAGGAAAGAGAUCGGUUUUAAGAUUGGGCCCUUCUUUGGGUGACAGACUGUGGACAUUUUUGUGCAGAAGUUACUGAGUUAAAACCUUGAGGACUCGAGGCACACUUCUAAUUUAUUCUCUGAAAUACAAUAAGCCCUGUACUUAUCCUUUAAUGCUCCACACUGGCUAAUUCAAACAUGGUUGUCGUGACAUUGUGGCGGUGUAAGAACACACCGUCGGUCGGUCUAGAUUCGUGUUUUUUUCAGCUUCCACUGUAGACACGAGGACGUUACAUCUUUUACAGCGUCACCCAUCAGCAUCUCCGUCUCCAGAACCACUCAUGUUGUUAGAGGUGACCUUCCGACCCGCUGCGUACAUUCAGACGCCGUUGAUUUAAAGCAUGUAUACUUGAAUUUAGGUGUGCUGAAGAUACUCAGACCCGACGUCGUGAUUUCAGUUCGUGGGCCACGUGUUCGUCUGUUUGCAAAUCUCUGCAUUCACUUUGAAACCAAAUGAGCACAAAGUUGAACAAAUCUCACCUCGUGGGAUUUACAAUCAGGGAACUGGAAACAAUCAGACAGCUGAGAAGCUUUGGAGAAACGUCAUCACUUUCCAAAGAGUUCCAGGAUUUAUUCCUCUGGCUGAGUUGACAAUCGCAGUUGUAUUUGUUUGUUUGUUUGUUUUUGCCCCCUGCUGCAUUGUGGGUCGCCUGUGAAUGAGAUGACGUCGGCAUUUUAAGGGGUGAGCAAUAUUCAAGCCAGUGGAAGGAGACAUUUCCCAGAAUAUUACCAACGUAGUACACCACAAUUUACACAUUUUUUCUUUGUUACAGAAACGUUUUGGGGUCACAGAGAUGCAUUUUUAUUUUAUUUCACUCCAGGUGUAAAUGUCUGAAGCACUGAUUUGGACCCUGAUGUGCUCAAACGCGUGAGACGUCUCAAACCGCCGGUGGUACAUUCUGCUCCACUUUAGUCAGGACAGCUUCUGUACAGUUUAAAACCCGUUUUUUAUUCACACACCGACACGUCUGGUCACACGUGAAGUGUGACGACAUAGCCACUGUUCCUAAAUGUAAAGUCUUUAAGGACUUCAUAUGAUGUUAAAAAAUUCCUCAUUUGAUGUAUUAUUUCAGUCUGUUGUAGAUUCAUGAUAUGAACUUUGGAAGACACUGAUGGUUUUUUUUUCUGCUUUUAUGUUUUCUUCAGGGAGUAGUUAAUAACCGCAGUAAUUAUCCGACAUUUACUCAUGAGCAGGAUUUGAUAAAAACAUCUGCUUUAGUCUCUCAUUCAUGCGGUAGACGACGCAGACGUUUCAUUCGACUUUUUACAUUUUCCAAAGCAUUUUCACUCGACGUUGCCAUGGUAGUGUGUUACAGAUUGUCAGGGUUUUUUUUGCUUUUUUUUUUUUAAACUACAGGAGUAGCCAAACCAAAAGUUUGUUUCCUGCAAACACUGAACGCUGAGCCAAUUCAGAUAGUUGUGACACACUCUCUCAUCUCCGCUCCAAAAGCUUCUUCGUCACGUUUUAACUACUCCCUGUUUCUUAACAAGAAGGAGUUUUUGGUUUUCUUUGAGAUAAUUUAUUCUAAUUUAUUUUGUGUAUAUUUGCCCAGUGCUACUGUAUAGAUGCUAUCUCAGUGUGUACAGUCCUUUUCUUCUCAUUGUCGAGGUGCAUUGGGUUGCGUGUUUGAUGCCUGUGUGUGGGGAGGUUGGACUAAAGCCAUGUGCCUCGUGCGUUCUCACACGAAUGCUGUGAGUCUUUUACAAAUCACGUGGAGAAAAAACAAAACAGACAAUCAAAUGUACAAAACGUGCCUUGUGAGUAACAGACCUGCCACAUCAUCAUCAUAAACACUUGGCAUAAUUACCCCAAAGUCACUGGUCACUGCUCUCGUUUCACUCGGGCUCUGUGAGAUCAAUACACACACACACACAAAAAAAAGAAUCUUUUUGAUUUCUCACAUCAGCUCACGAGGCACAGGCUCAACCUUUGACAUCUCUCAGCACGAACGGCGAGUUUCACCAUGCAAAACCUUCUCUUCAAUAUCAGAAACGACUGUUUGCAACGUGCACUGUAAAAAACAAACUAUUUUUUAUCUGUAUACUGUAUUUUGCGCCUCUCUCUUUCUACUCCUGUGCUGAACUUCCCCUCUAGAUUCUUGAAACCUUUUUAAGAUCUGUAAUAUGCUGGAUCGGCCCGGCUCGUCUGGGUUUUUGUGCUUUAUUAUCUACAAUCUAGCAGGGCUGCGGGUUUACGUUUGAAGGAGGAAUGAGCCACCACGGUGCCCAGUAUUAUUUGAGAUGGGUUGAACAGCCACUCAGCCGGUGUGGUGUUGAUCUGAGCCUGCCGUUACCAACCACUGUUGCAACCUUGACUCAAGUGAAAACAUUUGUUCUACGUUCAACCUUCAGUGUCUUUGCUAUCAAAUUUUUUCAAUCGGUUUUUGAAUAUCCAAGAAAAGAGUGCAUCUUUACUGUCAAGUGCUGUGAUUUGGUGUUUUUUAUACAUUAGACAUGAAUUUGACACAGCUGUCGUUGCUAUCUUUAUAAGAAAACCUUUUAGCAAAAUUUUUUCCAUACCUUUUUGUAAGAAGACGAUGACGAACGAACUACAACAACAUGACUUUUUUGCUUUUUCUAUGAUUGCGUUUUCUUUUUCAAUGUUGUGGCAUUGUUUUUUUUAAAUUUUGGAUAUUGCCAAGUCUGCUGUGUCACUCUCAGUUCAAGGGCUUUUUUCAAUAUAUGUAAAUGGAGUAAAAAUGCAUGUCCAACAUUCCUGAAAAAAAUCUGUAUCCUAAGGAUUUGAAUGUAAUUUAAUGGAGUGAAAAACCACAAUAUCUCUUUUAAUACGUGAAAUGAAACAGUGGAACUUAUUUCAGACGUUGCUUUCUUUGCGUUCAGAGUGGUCUCAAGGAUUUCACAUUCAUGUGUCCUAUGAAGUGAGACCCAGUCCAGAUGUAGCAGUUUUUUGAUAAAGCAUUGACUGUGUUAUCUUUGGGACUGCUCUGUUUCUCCUGCACAGUCUUCAGACGGUGCAGGACGUUGGAGCGAUGGAGGGGUUUGGACGAGGACCGGGAGGGAUGUUUGUUCUUUUUCUAGUGCAAUAUGCUGUACAUAAGAGCUUGGCUCACAAAAAUCUUACAAUUUCUCUUAAUUUUUUUUGUUGUUAAAUGGGUACAUUGCUGUUUUUUUUUUUUUUUGUUUUUUUUCAUUAAAACUUUAUGGACAAUUCAUACGGGUUGUGCUUUGUUU
ensembl:lncRNA